GAAAAGAGACGAGAUGAAUAUGAGUGUAGUGGGCACGCUGAAGAAGAGGAGUGCGAGCAUGCCAACAGCAACACUGGGCCUGGUGCUCAUGAGAAGCAUCUGGAGAAGUCCUACCACCUUGCAGAUAUCGGAGUUGUAAGUGGUGUAGUACUGCUUCUCCCACUCCAUCCACUCAGUGGGCGGCUCAUAAUUCCUCUCGGCCAUCUUAGUCUCGUGGAUCCUCUUCCUCAGCAUGAUCAUGUUCUCAUCCACCAGCUCACCUCCAACGCCAUAACCAUCCCUCCUAAUAGAAGCUGAAACGGCAGUUCGGCGGUGGUUGUGGAGCUUCGCCGCAGACCGGACGGAAAGGCGGCAGUGAGACAGGGUAGAAGAAGUAAUGGUAUGCAUAUUGGAUUGUCCGAGCGAGCAAUAGAGUUG
rnacentral:misc_RNA from 1 species